rnacentral:rRNA from 1 species
GUAGCAAUACGUUUGUAAAGCGGCGAACGGGUGAGGAAUACAUGGGUAACCUACCCUCGAGUGGGGAAUAACUAGCCGAAAGGUUAGCUAAUACCGCGUACGCUUCUUGGACUUCGGUUCAGGGAGGAAAGCGAUGCCGAGGGUAUCGCGCUCUUGGAUGGGCUCAUGUCCUAUCAGCUUGUUGGUGAGGUAACGGCUCACCAAGGCUUCGACGGGUAGCUGGUCUGAGAGGACGAUCAGCCACACUGGCACUGCGACACGGGCCAGACUCCUACGGGAGGCAGCAGUAAGGAAUAUUGCGCAAUGGGCGAAAGCCUGACGCAGCGACGCCGCGUGGGGGAUGAAGGUCUUCGGAUUGUAAACCCCUUUCGGGAGGGAAGAUGGAAUGGGGUAACCCAUUCGGACGGUACCUCCAGAAGCAGCCACGGCUAACUUCGUGCCAGCAGCCGCGGUAAUACGAAGGUGGCAAGCGUUAUUCGGAUUUACUGGGCGUACAGGGAGCGUAGGCGGUUCGGUAAGCCCUCUGUGAAAUCUCCAGGCUUAACCUGGAACAGUCGGAGGGGACUGCUGGGCUAGAGGACGGGAGAGGAGCGCGGAAUUCCCGGUGUAGCGGUGAAAUGCGUAGAGAUCGGGAGGAAGGCCGGUGGCGAAGGCGGCGCUCUGGAACGUUUCUGACGCUGAGGCUCGAAAGCGUGGGGAGCAAACAGGA